AAAACGCUUCCGUAAAUAUUCCACUCCGGUGCGUGCUGCUGCGUUUUGAGUGUACUAGCUAGCAUACGAAGUUUUUUGAAAUAUUUUGCAGCAUUUAUCUAAAUAGAAUGAAGGCCAAGGGAUUUGCAGUAGCCCUCCACCUGUAAAGGAUACUUCCACUGAUAUUCGUAGAGCUGUCAUUUUAUUGUGAGGAACUGCACUUCGAUCAGAAUUGUUUUGUUCUCUGUUUUGGGAGUGAUCCUCUCACUCAGUCCCUCGUCUCAGUGCACAAGUCUCCCCUUCUUCCAAACGUUGCGUAUGAAUCAGAAUCCGUAGCUAGUUUUGACACGUGAGCCUCUGGAUGAAAAGAGUAUCCCUGAAGCAGCGUGGUCGUAUCAUCUCUUCUCCAUGUUGCACUGAACACUUUCAACUCUACACAAGUGAAAACCCCAAAUCCCUAAAGGUCCUCUAUUUGCCAUACUAGAGGGACAUGAAGUCUGACUCCAUCCUCAACAUGUGGACCUGCCUUGAGGAUGUUGGACACCACUGUUACACCUUCAGCCAUGUUGAUUUCCUGUCAGACUGGUUGUUUUUGAACUCUAUUCCAUGGACGGACUGACCUGAACUUUUACCAGAAGAGGACCACAAUGUUCAUCAGACUCUCCUCACCAGUGGACUGAGUACUCUGACUGGUCGUCUUUGAACUCAAGAGGAACACAAUGUUCAUCAGACUCUCCUCCUCAGUGGACUGACUACUCAGACUGGUUGUGAGGUCACAGGAAGUAGACCGAUCUGUUAGGAGGGAUACAGCGUUCUAAUCCUGAUUAGAUGAUGGUUAUAAGGAGAGUUCAGGUAGUAACCAGUACAUUGAGAUAAAUGUAGAUGUCCACACUCAGGACAAUAUAAAAGGCUUUGGAGAGGGACCACGCUUUCAGAAGGAUAACAGGGCCUUGUCCAGAAGCAACCCCCAGCUCUUACCUCCAAGGCACUUAACUGUAUGCAAUUGUAUUAAAUAAUGUAUUACAUUCUUUUUAUUAAAUUUUCUAUACACCACGUUUUGGAAAUUCAAUGGUCAUUAAACUGUUUCUUUUUUUUUCCCGCAUUUACA